CAACAGGGAUUGCCCCAGUAACGGCGAGUGAAGCGGCAACAGCUCAAAUUUGAAAUCUGGCCCCCAGGGCCCGAGUUGUAAUUUGCAGAGGAUGCUUUUGGCGCGGCGCCUUCCGAGUUCCCUGGAACGGGACGCCAUAGAGGGUGAGAGCCCCGUCUGGUCGGACGCCAAGCCAGUGUAAAGCUCCUUCGACGAGUCGAGUAGUUUGGGAAUGCUGCUCUAAAUGGGAGGUAUAUGUCUUCUAAAGCUAAAUAUAGGCCAGAGACCGAUAGCGCACAAGUAGAGUGAUCGAAAGAUGAAAAGCACUUUGAAAAGAGGGUUAAACAGUACGUGAAAUUGUUGAAAGGGAAGCACUUGUGACCAGACUUGGGCCCGGUGAAUCAUCCAGCGUUCUCGCUGGUGCACUUUCGCCGGGCUCAGGCCAGCAUCAGUUCGCCGCGGGGGACAAAAGCUUCGGGAACGUGGCUCCCUCGGGAGUGUUAUAGCCCGUUGCACAAUACCCUGCGGUGGACUGAGGUUCGCGCUCCGCAAGGAUGC
rnacentral:rRNA from 1 species